CUACGGGAGGCAGCAGUGAGGAAUAUUGGACAAUGGAGGCAACUCUGAUCCAGCCAUGCCGCGUGCAGGAAGACGGCCCUAUGGGUUGUAAACUGCUUUUAUACAGGAAGAAACGUAGGUACGUGUACCUAUUUGACGGUACUGUAUGAAUAAGGAUCGGCUAACUCCGUGCCAGCAGCCGCGGUAAUACGGAGGAUCCAAGCGUUAUCCGGAAUCAUUGGGUUUAAAGGGUCCGCAGGCGGUUUGUUAAGUCAGAGGUGAAAUCCUACCGCUCAACGGUAGAACGGCCUUUGAUACUGACAGGCUUGAGUUAUUGUGAAGUAGUUAGAAUGUGUAGUGUAGCGGUGAAAUGCAUAGAUAUUACACAGAAUACCGAUUGCGAAGGCAGAUUACUAACAAUAUACUGACGCUGAGGGACGAAAGCGUGGGUAGCGAACAGGAUUAGAUACCCUGGUAGUCCACGCCGUAAACGAUGGUCACUAGCUGCUUGACUAACAUUGGUUAGUUGAGUGGCUAAGCGAAAGUGAUAAGUGACCCACCUGGGGAGUACGCUCGCAAGAGUGAAACUCAAAG
rnacentral:rRNA from 1 species